AUUGAACGCUGGCGGCAGGCCUAACACAUGCAAGUCGAACGAGCGGCGGACGGGUGAGUAAUGUCUGGGAAACUGCCUGAUGGAGGGGGAUAACUACUGGAAACGGUAGCUAAUACCGCAUACCAUCAGAUGUGCCCAGAUGGGAUUAGCUGGUAGGUGGGGUAACGGCUCACCUGGGCGACGAUCCCUAGCUGGUCUGAGAGGAUUACCAGCCACACUGGAACUGAGACACGGUCCAGACUCCUACGGUAGGCAGCAGUGGGGAAGAUUGGACAAUGGGCGAAAGCCUGAUGCAGCCAUGCCGCGUGUAUGAAGAAGGCCUUCGGGUUGUAAAGUACUGUCAGCGGGGAGGCGUUACCCGCAGAAGAAGCACCGGCUAACUCCGUGCCAGCAGCCGCGGUAAUAC
rnacentral:rRNA from 1 species